GAUGAAGAACGCAGCGAAUUGCGAUAAGUAAUGUGAAUUGCAGAUUUUCAGUGAAUCAUCGAAUCUUUGAACGCACAUUGCGCCCGCUGGUAUUCCGGCGGGCAUGCCUGUUCGAGCGUCAUUUCAACCCUCAAGCUCUCCGGAGUUUGGUGUUGGGGCGCCUGGGGCUUUUCGACCUCAGGGCCCUCAAGUCCAUCGGCGGGACCGCCAGGACACUGAGCGCAGUAGUAUUAUUUCGCUCGGUAGGAUCUUCCACGGCGGGUCGAUCUGGCCGCUAAACCCCCCAAUUCUCACCAAAGGUUGACCUCGGAUCAGGUAGGAAUACCCGCUGAACUUAAGCAUAUCAAUAAGCGGAGGA
rnacentral:misc_RNA from 1 species